GAUGAACGCUAGCGGCAGGCCUAACACAUGCAAGUCGAGGGGUAGUUGUGUUCGGACAAUGAGACCGGCGCACGGGUGCGUAACGCGUAUGCAAUCUACCUUAUACUAAGGGAUAGCGCAGAGAAAUUUGGUUUAAUACCUUAUAGUUAAUAGAGUUGGCAUCGAAUUUAUUUUAGAGAUUAAUUGGUAUAAGAUGAGCAUGCGUACCAUUAGUUAGUUGGUAAGGUAACGGCUUACCAAGACGAUGAUGGGUAGGGGUCCUGAGAGGGGGAUCCCCCACACUGGUACUGAGACACCGACCAGACUCCUACGAGAGGCAGCAGUGAGGAAUAUUGGUCAAUGGGCGCAAGCCUGAACCAGCCAGGCCGCGUGCAGGAUGAAGCAUCUAUGGUGUGUAAACUGCUUUUGUACGGGAAGAAAAAAAGCUACGUGUAGCUUACUGACGGUACCGUAAGAAUAAGGAUCGGCUAACUCCGUGCCAGCCGCCGCAGUAA
rnacentral:rRNA from 1 species